UUGUUGACAGAAUAUCCAGUAUAGGAGUGCUCCUGGGAGCCAUCUCUCAUCUCUGGCAGAGAUAACUGCGGGUUUACAUCUGUGGCCAGACAUUCCCAGAAAAAGCACGGCCUGACACACCAUUGGCUUUGUGAGUUUGGAUUUCCCAUCAUCCAUUCCUUGCUGUCUUCUUUCUGGGCCUACUGUGAUUCUUCAGCCUGCACCUGUUUGGAGUCUUUCUUCUCUUUUGGUUCCUAUGGAAACCAGAAGAGGACACCAGAUUCCCGGGAACUGGAUUUACAGGCAGACGUGCACCAUCUGAUCUGGGUGCUGGGAACCAAACUUCGGUCCUCUGAAAAAUAAUUGAAAAGUUUCUGAAAAGUCAAAGCCCAACCAGCUGCUGCAUGGCAAGCCGACCGACCAGUCCCACUGGAGCCUGAGAGAGGCCAGCAAGCCAAGAGGGAGAGGUGUGGAGCAGAGGAGGUGGAGAGUGUGAGUGUGUGUGUGUCCGUGUGUGUCCGUCUGUGUCCGUUUCUUUUUCUGCCUCCAAAGAAAUAAACAGAUCUCCCUCCCUCCCUUCCUCUUGAUUUAAGGGAAGUUCACCCUGGUGACAGCAUCUCCACAUUGCUGUGGCUGGUUUACAAGCCAACCUAGAGAAUUAUACCCUGGCACAAAAUUAGCAGCUUUGUUUUUCAGUAAAAAGAAACCCAGGGGCAUAAUUUAUUAUGAAAAUAUGGUACAAGUGAGACGUCUCUUCAUGGGUUUUUUGAGUAAAUAUAGAUCUUGGGUUAAGGAAUUAGACAAUUAGACACAAGAGCUCAGUAACAGAGAGUGAAUAGUAUUCCUUAAGAAAAAGCUAACAAGUCAUGGCAUUCUAAAAGUUGAAAAGAAAUGUCUCUAAUAAGUUAAACGUAAAUAACUUUAUCCCAACAUCGAUGGAGAUCAAUUAUGACAGAGAAGUAUACUAAGAAAAUUUAUCAUUUUAAUUAAGAAAACCAAACUGUGGAAAAGCAGAUGAUCAGUGCUGUAUGUAGUGUGUGUGGUGGCCUAUGCCUAUCAUCUAGUAUUCUGUAAGAUGAGAUAUGCUAAGUUCCAGGCUAGCCUGCUUACAUAGUAGAGUCCUAUUCCCAAACAAAUAAAUUAUUCUGUCAGUGGAAAAGAAUUUUAAGGUAUCUUUUACUUUUGCUAAGUGUGAUGGUUCACACCUUUAAUUCCAGUGCUUAGUAAGCAGAAGCAGGUGGAACUCUGUAAGUGUGAGGCCAGCCUAGUCUACAUAGAGAGUUCUAGGACAGCCAGGGCUACAUAAUGAGACUCUGUCAAAAAAACAAUUGUUUUUCUUACUUUUGCCUGUGUGUGUGUGUGUGUGAUCACAUACAUGUGGCUAUGCAAACCAAAAGAGUGCCAGUUACAUUGGUGCUGGUGUCCUGGACAGCUUUGAGCUGCUCAACAUGGGUGUCAGGAAUUAAGCUCUGGUCCUCUACAAGAGCAGCAACGGAUCUUAAACACUGAGCCCCCUCUCCAGUCCCUCGUCUAUGUUUUAAGAGAAGGCCUCACAUAGGGUAAAGUAUCCUUGAACUCACUACAUAGUCGAGGAUGGCCUUAAAUUUUGGAUUCUCCUGCCUGCAGUCUGAGUAGUGUGAUCACAGGUGUGUGCACUCAUCUCAUCCUUGCUUUGUGUGGUGCUGGGGCUCAAAGCCAGGGCUGGGCAAGUACUCAGCCAAGUGAGCCCCCCUCCACAAAAGGUGUUUCUCGAGGGGAGGAGUCCCAUUAAUAUAAAAACCAAAUAGCUCGGAUGUUAAAAGAAAUAUUUGCCUCUUUUGGGCCACAGUAAAAGGUCUGAUGUGGAAUUUUAUAUUCUGGUGGUCAGGCUAGUAACAUGCCUAUGAUUCAGAAAUAUCAGAGCAUAUUCUACUAAAUCAAUUGCAGGCAAAAAAAAAAAAAAAAAUCUAUGUCUGGCUCAUGGAGAGCCUGACAGAGCUUUAUGUACUCUGGAGAGCUGGUAAAGACAGAACUAAGAAGCCGGGCAGUGGUGGCGCACGCCUGCAAUCCCAGCACUCUGGGAGGCAGAGGCAGGUGGAUUUCUGAGUUUGAGGCCAGCCUGGUCUACAGAGUGAGUUCCAGGACAGCCAGGGCUACACAGAGAAACCCUGUCUUGAAAAAAAAAAAAAAAGAAGAAGAAGAAGAAGACUGAACUAAGUUCAGGGAACACCACCACAGGGUUCUCUCAAGCCCCCGGUGUUCUCAAAAUGUAUUGGCCUUACUCCUUACAGACAUUUGGUAACAAUCAUCAAAGUUCUAUUUGUUUCCUUUCAAGAGAAAGAAAGCUCAGAGGGCACAGCUCUUUAUCUGACAGCAGGCAGAGAUUAGCCAGGGUAAUGACCACGGAAGAGACCACCAGAAUUAUGCAGUGCUCCUCAACCUUCCUAAUGCAGUGAGCCUUUAACACAGUUCCUCGUGUUGUGGUGACCCCCAACCAUAAAAUUAUUUUUGCUGCUACUUCCUAACUGUAAUGUUGCUACUGUUAUAAAUCAUAAUGUAAAUAUUGGUGUUUUCCCAUGGUUUUAAGCGACCCCUGUGCAAGGAUCGUUCAACCCCCGAAGGGCUGAGACCCAAAACUUGAGAACCACUGUCUGAUGCAAUGUUUUCUUUUUAAUCUGUGCUUCAUGGUACACUAAUUUCUUGACACCUCUCUUAACGGUUAUUUGUAUUGCCAAAUAUUGGCUGAAAAAAAAAAUUAGGGAACCUCCCUUGUACAAUCACAGAAUGUUAGAGCAAAAGAGAACUGAAAGAUGACUUUGUGUGGGCUACUUUCUUAAAGAUGAAGACACAGAUGCGCAGGAGAUUCCCUGAUCCCUCGUGGAGAGGGGGCCCAGCAAACCUGGAGCAAGGCUCCCCACACAGACCCAUGCUCAGCACCAGUAGCACAAAGCCUGCCUCUCACUGGCCAGCCAGUGAGCGUGUGAGAAGCUGACGAGCUAGAAAUGAAAGUCACACAGCGCGUGACACCACACCGGGGAGCUGCAAAUCCAGAAGAUGUUUACACCACGCCUCAAGCUGCCUUUGCUCUCUGUGCAGCGUUGGGAAAAUGAUUCCUCUAAAAACACCGUUCACUCUGUAUCAGUGCCGGCUUAAAACUCAAAAAUGGGUCCAUGAAGCCUAUAAAGCGAAACGUCCUCUCCAGCGUCUGUGCAGCGUCUGUGCUGGUGCCCAAGCCCCAGGCACAAGUGGCUUUUUCCUGGCUUAGCAUGCAGCUGUCCUGCCGGGCCUUUGUUCACACCGUCCUCGGCCUGUCAUGGCCUCUUCUGUCACCCACUAGGAAGGUGGUGUCCUUUGUAACAGUAGCCUUGCAUCUCUCUGCUUCCUCUUGAAAGCUGAGUUGACCUUCUUCCCUUGUUUUACUCUCCAGUGUAUUCUGUCCAGGCUUCUAGAGCCAGAAACUGCAGCACUUUUUGUAACACUGUUUUUAAAUACGUAAGUGUAUCUAGUAUUUAUACGGCCAUCUUUCUCUACUAUCCAAAGGGAAGACCUUUGACGCCAAGGUCAUUUUUUGGUGCCCCUAGACUCUUAGUGUCUGGAUCACAGAACCGCUGUUGAAUGAAUCACCCACAGACAUCAUUCAAAGGUUGCGCAGAUGCUCUAGAUAAUGUAGUGAUCUGUGCUUGGAGUGCAGGAGUCCUCCCAGAAGUAUAAGCAUGAACUUUAAGGUGGUGAACACCAGUAGUUCCUUGGGUAGAAGAGGGCAGGGGUUGAUUGCAAGAAAGGAGUAUGGCAAAGGUUCAGGGUGCUGAGAAAUGAUGGCAUGUUGGGUGAUUUUUUACUGGGUUAUUUUUACUGAGCCUAGCCAAGUCCUAUGUGGGAAAAAAAGUCUUAUAGUCUUUAUUAAGAAAGAGGAGAUGUUUUGAAGGUCAGUAGCACAGUCUCUGAAUGCUAACAGAGCCUGUGAGGCAAUGGGCAAUGGGGUACCUGGGUUCUGGAGUCUGGAAGACAAGCAGCUGAAUCCAGGUAAGACAUUACUGUGGUAAGGACCAGAAUGCUAAGGCUGGUCCAGGGGAGAAGGGAUGAAGACAGGAAGAGAGGCAGUGGAGAUGGGGAGAAAGAAGAACUACCGAAACAGCCCAGUGCCGACGGGACCGUGAUGGCAACCAGCUGAAGAUGAGGCGUGGUGGGAAACAAGGGGUCAAGAGUGACUCCAAGAGCUUAUCAUGAGUGUUUAUGUAAAUUGUGUUGUCCUGAUAUGGAAUGCACGAGGAACAUUCCAUGUGGGGCUGUGGAAGCCACAGAAAAGGGUUUGUUCACAGAGGACAGCUGGAUACUGGUGAUGAGGGCUGAACUAACGUCCCAGAAGAGCUAUAAUAUAAGGCUGUGAUGGUACUCAUUGGGGCCUGGAGGGAGUCCAGCACAGGGCAGUCCUGGAGUUAGCCAGAGAAGCAGAGACAAUGGCUCCUUCUCUUUCUUCACCCAGCCAGCACACAGCCUGAGGUUGAUUUGAAACUGUGAUUUAUGCUCAGUAGCUUCAUCUAAUUAGGGCCGGCAAAACUGAGAUGGCCAGACUGACUCUUUUGAAAGACCUUGAUAAAGAAUUCAGCAUCUUAAAAAAAAGAAAGAACCGAGAGUCUCACAUUAAUCUUAAUAUUCCUUUGUGUGAGUUGAGAGGAGGAUAAGGAAGUAGCUGAUGAAUACAGGAAGUAUUCAUUCUUUGAAAACAGAUGAUCUGUCAAACAACCUUCUGCCUACAAUAGCCCAAGGUCUAUUUACAGGAGUGGUAUCAACUAUCAGGGUCAAUAUAGAAUUUAGUGGGCUAGCAAAACCAAAACCAAACCCCAAACACCAACUAGCAUAUAAUUAGGCACACACACACACACACACACACACAGAGGCAUAUAGAAGUAUAUG